rnacentral:rRNA from 1 species
AGAGUUUGAUCCUGGCUCAGAGUGAACGCUGGCGGCGUGCUUAACACAUGCAAGUCGAACGAGAACGAUUAUAGCUUGCUAUAAUUGUCAGCUAAGUGGCGCACGGGUGAGUAAUAUAUAGGUAAUGUGCCCUAGAGAAGAGGGAUAACAGUUGGAAACGACUGUCUAAGACUCUAUAUGCCUUUAAGAGCAGAAGUUCUGCAAAGGGAAAUAUUUAUAGCUCUAGGAUUCCAGCCCUGUUACCAGGUAUCAGUUAGUUGGUGAAGGUAAUGGCUCACCCAAGGACUAUGACACUUAACUGGUUUGAGAGGAUGAUCAGUCACACCUGGCAACUGAAGACACGGUUCCAAACUCCUACCGGGAGGCAGCAGUGGGGAAUAUUGCACAAUGGACGAAAGUCUGAUGCAGCAACGCCGCGUGGAGGAUGACACAUUUCGGUGCGUAAACUCCUUUUAUAUAGGGAAGAUAAUGACGGUACUAUUAUGAAUAAGCACCGGGCUUAACUCCGUGCCCAGCAGCCGCGGGUAAUACGGAGGGGUGCAAGCGUUACUUCGGAAUCACUGGGCGUUAAAGAGCCGUGUCAGGCGGAUAUAUAAGUCAGAAGUGAAAUCCAAUAGCCUUAACUAUUGAACUGCUUUUGAAACUGUAUAUCUAGAAUGUGGGGGAGAAGGUAGAUGGAAUUUCUGGUGUAGGGGUAAAAUCUCGUAGAGAUCAGAAGGAAUACCGCAUUGGCGAAGGCGAUCUACUGGAACAUUAUUGACGCUGAGACACGCGAAAGCGUGGUGGCGCCAAAACAGGAUUAGAUACCCUGGUAGUCCACGCCCUAAACGAUGCACACUAGUUGUUGUGAGGCUAGACCUUGCAGUAAUGCAGUUAACACAUUAAGUGUGCCGCCUGGGGAGUACGGUCGCAAGAUUAAAACUCAAAGGAAUUACGG